UCGAGCGGUAACAGAUCCAGCUUGCUGGAUGCUGACGAGCGGCGGACGGGUGAGUAAUGCAUAGGAAUCUGCCCGAUAGUGGGGGAUAACCUGGGGAAACCCAGGCUAAUACCGCAUACGUCCUACGGGAGAAAGGGGGCUCCGGCUCCCGCUAUGGGAUGAGCCUAUGUCGGAUUAGCUAGUUGGUGAGGUAACGGCUCACCAAGGCCACGAUCCGUAGCUGGUCUGAGAGGAUGAUCAGCCACAUCGGGACUGAGACACGGCCCGAACUCCUACGGGAGGCAGCAGUGGGGAAUAUUGGACAAUGGGGGCAAGCCUGAUCCAGCCAUGCCGCGUGUGUGAAGAAGGCCCUCGGGUUGUAA
rnacentral:rRNA from 1 species